ACUACGGGAGGCAGCAGGAGGGAAUAGUGCUCAAUGGGGGAAACCCUGAAGCAGCAAAGGCGCGUGGAGGAAGAAGGUGGUCGGAGGGUAAAAGCUGUGUGAUAGAGAAGAUAAUGACGGUAUCUAACGAAUAAUCCCCGGAUCACUCCGUCCCAGACGGCGCGGUAAAUCGGUUGGUGAAUGCGUUACUCGGACCCACUGGGCGUUAAUAGAGCGUAGGCGGGAUAGCAAGUCAGAUGUGAAAUCCUAUGGCUUAAACAUAGAACUGCAGUUUAAACUGUUAGUCUAGAGUAUGGGAGAGGUAGGUGGAAUUCUUGGUGUAGGGGUAAAAUCCGUAGAGAUCAAGAGGAAUACUCAUUGCGAAGGCGACCUGCUAGAACAUAACUGACGCUGAUGCGCGAAAGCGUGGGGAGCAAACAGGAUUAGAUACCCCAGUAGUC
rnacentral:rRNA from 1 species